rnacentral:rRNA from 1 species
GAGUUUGAUCGUGGCUCAGAUUGAACGCUGGCGGCAGGCCUAACACAUGCAAGUCGAGCGGUAGAGAGAAGCUUGCUUCUCUUGAGAGCGGCGGACGGGUGAGUAAUGCCUAGGAAUCUGCCUGGUAGUGGGGGAUAACGCUCGGAAACGGACGCUAAUACCGCAUACGUCCUACGGGAGAAAGCAGGGGACCUUCGGGCCUUGCGCUAUCAGAUGAGCCUAGGUCGGAUUAGCUAGUUGGUGAGGUAAUGGCUCACCAAGGCGACGAUCCGUAACUGGUCUGAGAGGAUGAUCAGUCACACUGGAACUGAGACACGGUCCAGACUCCUACGGGAGGCAGCAGUGGGGAAUAUUGGACAAUGGGCGAAAGCCUGAUCCAGCCAUGCCGCGUGUGUGAAGAAGGUCUUCGGAUUGUAAAGCACUUUAAGUUGGGAGGAAGGGCAGUAAAUUAAUAACUUUGCUGUUUUGACGUUACGACAGAAUAAGCACCGGCUAACUCUGUGCCAGCCGCCG